rnacentral:tRNA from 1 species
GUCGCUGUGGCGCAAUUGGUUAGCGCGUUCGGCUGUUAACCGGAAGGUUGGUGGUUCAAGCCCACCCAGGGACG